rnacentral:rRNA from 1 species
GACUCAACACGGGGAAACUCACCAGGUCCAGACACGAUGAGGAUUGACAGAUUGAGAGCUCUUUCUUGAUUUCGUGGGUGGUGGUGCAUGGCCGUUCUUAGUUGGUGGAGUGAUUUGUCUGCUUAAUUGCGAUAACGAACGAGACCUUAACCUGCUAAAUAGCCCGUAUUGCUUUGGCAGUACGCUGGCUUCUUAGAGGGACUAUCGGCUCAAGCCGAUGGAAGUUUGAGGCAAUAACAGGUCUGUGAUGCCCUUAGAUGUUCUGGGCCGCACGCGCGCUACACUGACAGAGCCAGCGAGUACUCCCUUGGCCGGAAGGUCCGGGUAAUCUUAGAAACUCUGUCGUGCUGGGGAUAGAACAUUGCAAUUAUUGUUCUUCAACGAGGAAUCCCUAGUAAGCGCAAGUCAUCAGCUUGCGUUGAUUACGUCCCUGCCCUUUGUACACACCGCCCGUCGCUACUACCGAUUGAAUGGCUCAGUGAGGCUUCNGGACUGGCCCAGGGAGGUCGGCAACGACCACCCAGGGCCGGAAAGCUAUCCAAACUCGGUCAUUUAGAGGAAGUAAAAGUCGUAACAAGGUUU